rnacentral:rRNA from 1 species
UGGGGAAUAUUGCACAAUGGGCGAAAGCCUGAUGCAGCGACGCCGCGUGCGGGAUGAAGGCCUUCGGGUUGUAAACCGCUUUUAAUUGGGAGCAAGCGAGAGUGAGUGUACCUUUUGAAUAAGCACCGGCUAACUACGUGCCAGCAGCCGCGGUAAUACGUAGGGUGCAAGCGUUAUCCGGAAUUAUUGGGCGUAAAGAGCUCGUAGGCGGUUUGUCACGCCUGGUGUGAAAGUCCAUCGCUUAACGGUGGAUCUGCGCCGGGUACGGGCAGGCUAGAGUGCAGUAGGGGAGAUUGGAAUUCCCGGUGUAACGGUGGAAUGUGUAGAUAUCGGGAAGAACACCAAUGGCGAAGGCAGAUCUCUGGGCUGUUACUGACGCUGAGGAGCGAAAGCAUGGGGAGCGAACAGGAUUAGAUACCCGUGGUAGUCCAUGCCGUAAACGGUGGAUGCUGGAUGUGGGACCCUUCCACGGGUUCCGUGUCGGAGCUAACGCGUUAAGCAUCCCGCCUGGGGAGUACGGCCGCAAGGCUAA